CACUUCGGUGGGGAUUAGUGGCGAACGGGUGAGUAACACGUGGGCAAUCUGCCCUUCACUCUGGGACAAGCCCUGGAAACGGGGUCUAAUACCGGAUACAACCACUAGGGGCAUCUCUUGGUGGUGGAAAGCUCCGGCGGUGAAGGAUGAGCCCGCGGCCUAUCAGCUUGUUGGUGAGGUAACGGCUCACCAAGGCGACGACGGGUAGCCGGCCUGAGAGGGCGACCGGCCACACUGGGACUGAGACACGGCCCAGACUCCUACGGGAGGCAGCAGUGGGGAAUAUUGCACAAUGGGCGAAAGCCUGAUGCAGCGACGCCGCGUGAGGGAUGACGGCCUUCGGGUUGUAAACCUCUUUCAGCAGGGAAGAAGCGAAAGUGACGGUACCUGCAGAAGAAGCGCCGGCUAACUACGUGCCAGCAGCCGCGGUAAUACGUAGGGCGCGAGCGUUGUCCGGAAUUAUUGGGCGUAAAGAGCUCGUAGGCGGUCUGUCGCGUCGGAUGUGAAAGCCCGGGGCUUAACCCCGGGUCUGCAUUCGAUACGGGCAGACUAGAGUGUGGUAGGGGAGAUCGGAAUUCCUGGUGUAGCGGUGAAAUGCGCAGAUAUCAGGAGGAACACCGGUGGCGAAGGCGGAUCUCUGGGCCAUUACUGACGCUGAGGAGCGAAAGCGUGGGGAGCGAACAGGAUUAGAUACCCUGGUAGUCCACGCCGUAAACGGUGGGAACUAGGUGUUGGCGACAU
rnacentral:rRNA from 1 species